rnacentral:rRNA from 1 species
AUGACGGCCUCCAACCGGCGUCUCCGUCGUCGCCCGGAACGCGCCACCACUCCAAACUGGCGCUGCCACCGACGCCUGGAACGCGCCACCACCACCAGCCGGCGCCGCCACUGUCCCUCGUCGCGGAUCGCGCCGCCACCAUCGUUCCUCGCCCGGAAUCGGGCCGCCUCCACCAUCCCACAAUGUGGAUCGCGCCACCGCCAUCGCCACCAACCCACCUCCCGUUGCCGGAAACCUGCCGAUGCGCAAACUUGCUCCACUUGCCGCCACGACUUUCCUCGAACUGCCACCACAAUCUUCUUCCCUCCCGCCGCUGUCGGAGGCCUGCCACACAGAGCACCUCCAACCGCCGGCCCACUGCCCCCAGCCUCCCGUGCUGGAACUCCGCCGCCAAGUCGCUCCCAUGGUCGGACCGCACAACGGCCUCUCCUACUACUCAACGGCAGCCAUGCCACUGUUUGCCACCUCGCGAUGGUGCCGGCUAAUGUCAUCGCGUGCACUCACUGCAUGGAUGGAGAUGGAGUGGGGGAGAGCUUGGGACCGAACAGCGGCUGGCGAACUUAG